rnacentral:rRNA from 1 species
GACAGAGGGUGCAAACGUUGCUCGGAAUUACUGGGCGUAAAGCGAGUGUAGGCGGUCUGCUAAGUCGGGUGUGAAAGCCCCGGGCUCAACCCGGGAAGUGCACUCGAAACUGGCAGGCUAGAGUACUGGAGAGGUUGGUGGAAUUCUCGGUGUAGAGGUGAAAUUCGUAGAUAUCGAGAGGAACACCGGUGGCGAAGGCGGCCAACUGGACAGAUACUGACGCUGAGACUCGGAAGCGUGGGGAGCAAACAGG